CAAAUACUCCCUCCGUCUGGAAAUACUUGUCAUCAAAAUGGAUAAAAGGAAAUGUAUAUAGACGUAUUUUAGUUUUAGAUACAUCUAUUUUUAUCCAUUUUGAUGACAAGUAUCUUCGGACGGAGGGAGUAGAAA
rnacentral:pre_miRNA from 1 species